rnacentral:rRNA from 1 species
UACCAUCGAGUGGGAAUAACCAGCCGAAAGGUUGGCUAAUACCGCGUACGCCUCCGGGUUUUCGGAUCCGGAGGGAAAGCCAUGCUGUGAGCGUGGCGCUCUUUGAUGGGCUCAUGUCCUAUCAGCUUGUUGGUAGGGUAACGGCCUACCAAGGCUUUGACGGGUAGCUGGUCUGAGAGGACCGAUCAGCCACACUGGCACUGCGACACGGGCCAG